AAGCCUUCCAGGCUUUGAGCAGCCCUACAGAAGUUAUCCCUGAUAUUAUUACCCUAAGAAGCAGUAUUGAGAUGGGAAGGCAAUCUGAAGUCUGUUGGCCAAGAAAUUUGGGAAUAGAAGGGUAUGAUGGGGUGUAUAUGGCUCCUGUAAGAAAGAUAGAAUGAGCACUCUGAGGAGGGGUUGCCCACUGAGUACAGAGAACACCCUAGUGGAGGUGCCAAAUUACAACCAGGAUGGAUGGUAGCGUGUCUAAGGAGCCCUCCACCCCAGCCUAGACCAUUGUUGAUUUGGCAUGGACAAGCUGUCAAGAUGAAGGGUACCACCUAAUAACUGGUAAGAAACUGUUGCACACUGGAAUGU
rnacentral:lncRNA from 1 species